AACGAACGCUGGUGGCAUGCCUAACACAUGCAAGUCGAACGAGACCUUCGGGUCUAGUGGCGCACGGGUGCGUAACGCGUGGGAACCUGCCCUUAGGUUCGGAAUAACUCCCCGAAAGGGGUGCUAAUACCGGAUAAUGUCUUCGGACCAAAGAUUUAUCGCCUUUGGAUGGGCCCGCGUUGGAUUAGCUAGUUGGUAGGGUAAAAGCCUACCAAGGCGACGAUCCAUAGCUGGUCUGAGAGGGUGAUCAGCCACACUGGGACUGAGACACGGCCCAGACUCCUACGGGAGGCAGCAGUGGGGAAUAUUGGACAAUGGGCGAAAGCCUGAUCCAGCAAUGCCGCGUGAGUGAUGAAGGCCUUAGGGUUGUAAAGCUCUUUUACCCGGGAUGAUAAUGACAGUACCGGGAGAAUAAGCUCCGGCUAACUCCGUG
rnacentral:rRNA from 1 species